GACGAACGCUGGCGGCGUGCCUAAUACAUGCAAGUCGAGCGGUCCUUUGAAGAGCUUGCUCUUUGAGGUUAGCGGCGGACGGGUGAGUAACACGUGGGCAACCUGCCUGUAAGCUUGGGAUAACUCCGGGAAACCGGUGCUAAUACCGAAUACAACAAAGGACUGCAUGGUCCUUUGUGAAAAGACCUUGUGUCACUUACAGAUGGGCCCGCGGCGCAUUAGCUUGUUGGUGGGGUAACGGCCUACCAAGGCGACGAUGCGUAGCCGACCUGGGAGGGUGAUCGGCCACACUGGGACUGAGACACGGCCCAGACUCCUACGGGAGGCAGCAGUAGGGAAUCUUCCGCAAUGGACGAAAGUCUGACGGAGCAACGCCGCGUGAGCGAUGAAGGUUUUCGGAUCGUAAAGCUCUGUUGUUAGGGAAGAACCGCCGGGAUGACCUCCCGGUCUGACGGUACCUAACGAGAAAGCCCCGGCUAACUACGUGCCAGCCGCCGCGGUAACAC
rnacentral:rRNA from 1 species